UCAUUACUUUCAUUCGAAAAGGGCCAUAACACAGACUUAAUUACUUUCUUACGAAACGGGCUAAUGGGAACUUUGACACGACCCUGAGUAUUUCUGCUCUAUCUUACCGCACUGCCCUACCUGAAGCGCGACAAAACUACCAUCACCGCACACGAUACUCGCUCCGUUCAACAGUAACAGAGAAAGAACACCAGUAAUGCGAUAGAGCCGGUAAGAGAGCAAAUUUCAGCAGUUUCUCACCUUGGAGUGUAUACUUGGUGUGAAAUCCUUUCGCGGAAUGGCUUUUAUCCAAGACUUCUUCGGAGCUUCAUCCUUGGGGAAU
rnacentral:lncRNA from 1 species